rnacentral:rRNA from 1 species
CCAGAAAGGGACGGCUAANUACGUGCCAGCAGCCGCGGUAAUACGUAGNUCCCGAGCGUUGUCCGGAUUUAUUGGGCGUAAAGGGAGCGCAGGCGNUCAGGAAAGUCUGGAGUAAAAGGCUAUGGNUCAACCAUAGUGUGCUCUGGAAACUGUCUGACUNGAGUGCAGAAGGGGAGAGUGGANUUCCAUGUGUAGCGGUGAAAUGCGUAGAUAUAUGGAGGAACACCAGUGGCGAAAGCGGCUCUCUGGUCUGUCACUGACGCUGAGGCUCGAAAGCGUGGGUAGCGAACAGGAUUAGAUACCCUGGUAGUCCACGCCGUAAACGAUGAGUGCUAGGUGUUAGGCCCUUUCCGGGGCUUAGUGCCGGAGCUAACGCAAUAAGCACUCCGCCUGGGGAGUACGACCGCAAGGUUGAAACUCAAAGGAAUUGACGGGGGCCCGCACAAGCGGUGGAGCAUGUGGUUUAAUUCGAAGCAACGCGAAGAACCUUACCAGGUCUUGACAUCCCGAUGCUAUUCUUAGAGAUAGGAAGUUACUUCGGUACAUCGGAGACAGGUGGCGCAUGGUUGUCGUCAGCUCGUGUCGUGAGAUGUUGGGUUNNNNNNNNCAACGAGCGCAACCCUUAUUGUUAGUUGCCAUCAUUAAGUUGGGCACUCUAGCGAGACUGCCGGUAAUAAACCGGAGGAAGGUGGGGAUGACGUCAAAUCAUCAUGCCCCUUAUGACCUGGGCUACACACGUGCUACAAUGGUCGGUACAACGAGUUGCGAGCCGGUGACGGCAAGCUAAUCUCUGAAAGCCGAUCUCAGUUCGGAUUGGAGGCUGCAACUCGCCUCCAUGAAGUCGGAAUCGCUAGUAAUCGCGGAUCAGCACGCCGCGGUGAAUACGUUCCCGGGCCU